CCCCUCCAGGCUGAGACUUAUGGGCUGCUACUAGCUACUAAGUUAGCAGAUCUUCUGCAGGUUCAGAACCCUCACUUUUGCACCGACUGCUCGGUGUUAGUUUCGGCGGCAAGGUCAUCAACGGUAUUUGCUGCUCCAGGAUGUUGGGAGAACAGACCUCUCCUUGCAAAGAUCCAAGCCUCUCCCUCUUUUAGUCGUAACAAGAUCACUCACAUCAACAGAAGCAACAAUGUAAAAGCUGAUCAUCAAGCUCGAUUAGCUUUGCGGAUUCAGUCAAGGUCCUUAGCUCUUCGUUGCUUAUGUACACAAGCAGAUCAAGGUCAAUGUCCCGGAAAGGACAUAGUUUCUAGUUCUAGCAUGAGUCCCUUCAUGCUUCUUUCUGUAAAAUGC
rnacentral:rRNA from 1 species